UCGUGAGGUGUCCAGGGAAUUCCUGAGGAGGCCACGCCUCAUCCGGGACCGGGGGGAACCAGCAGAGCCCACGUUCCAGGGCUGGCAGAGAGGGCAGCAACUCAAGGCUCGGCAGCAGGAGAAACUGCCACAAAUCCGGAAUCUCCGGGCAGGAGCCCACCACGGCCUCCGGCUGCAGCGGGGGCGGGAGCCAGCGGAGAAGCUGCGGGCCUGGCUGCCCUGGGAGGUGAUUCCUGGCUUCUCUUCUCGAUGCAGAAAGAACCUGCAAGUGGAGAAACGCAGAGCAGACAACUGCCCACUCAGCCCAAAGAUGCAAGAGAAAUAAAGAGGGUGCCUGAAACAGGGACGGCCACGGGCCUGCGGUCAGUGGGGCUUUGCUGCAAGGUCACUCAGGAAACCACCAGCCCAGGAAGACGAGGCCUGCGCCAGAGGUGACAGGACUGGUCCAUGUCACGUCUCCAGGAUUUGACGAUCGUGUCUGAGUAUGUGAGAGGAUGGGUGUCCGCCCUCUCAGGAGACGCAGGCUGGAGAGUCAGAGGUUUGUCCAUUGGAAGUCAGACCUGAGUCUCACUGGGGUACAAUGAAGGUGUUGGCCCGCCCCGGUCCUUUCUGGAAGGUCUGGGGGAGAAUCCACUUCCAGGCUGUGCAGGUGUCAGCAGAACUCAGUUCCUGGCUUUGUAGGAUCAAGGUCCACAUGACCUUACUGGUGGUCAGCUGAGGACCAUUCUCAGCUUCCAGAAGCUUCCCACAUUCCUUGGCCAGUGGCCCCCUUGCUCCAUCCUCAAAGCCAGCAAUGACGGGUCGAGUCUUCACACUUGGUCUCUCCUGCCCCCUUUUGCGUCACCGCUCUGACUUCAGCUGGGAAAGUUCUCCACUUUUAAAGGCUCGUGUGAUUCGAUUGUGCUGACCAGAGAAUGCGGGACAGUUUCCAUCUCAAGAUCCUCGUCUCUGUUGCAUCUGCAAAGUCCCCGUCACCAUGUGCAGUGGCCAGUUCAUAGGUUCCAGGGACAUUGCUGGCACCCUUCUCCAGCCUGACCAGGGAGAGAAAGGAAUAAAGCAAAUGGUACAGAAUCGUGACCACUGGUGAAUCUCGACAGAUGGUGCGUAGCAGUUCACUGCACACUCCUUGCUCUUUCCUAUGGGUGUGAACACUUAUCAUGAUAAAAAUGUAAACACGCAGAGUCGUUCUAGACGAAGGGUCACGUCCACUAUCCUGGGGUCAGAACACCCUCAGGGGUAACCUCCUCCUGUCUGGAUUUGGGGUGCAGUGGGGUGAGGUUUACCCAGCCAAAGUGUUGCUCAAAUACAGAGGCAGCGGCAACGUCCUCAAAUUCUCAAACAC